rnacentral:rRNA from 1 species
CAGCCGCCGCGGGAAUACGAAGGGGGCUAGCGUUGCUCGGAAUGACUGGGCGUAAAGGGCGCGUAGGCGGCGGCCAAAGUCAGGCGUGAAAUUCCCGGGCUCAACCUGGGGGCUGCGCUUGAUACUUGGUUGCUUGAGUGGGGAAGAGGGUCGUGGAAUUCCCAGUGUAGAGGUGAAAUUCGUAGAUAUUGGGAAGAACACCGGUGGCGAAGGCGGCGACCUGGUCCUGUACUGACGCUCAUGCACGAAAGCGUGGGGAGCAAACAGGAUUAGAGACCCCCGUAGUCCCUGUCUCUUAUAC